AACGAACGCUGGCGGCAUGCCUAACACAUGCAAGUCGAACGAGAUCCUUCGGGGUCUAGUGGCGCACGGGUGCGUAACGCGUGGGAAUCUGCCCUUAGGUUCGGAAUAACAGUUAGAAAUGACUGCUAAUACCGGAUGAUGACGUUAAGUCCAAAGAUUUAUCGCCCGAGGAUGAGCCCGCGUAGGAUUAGCUAGUUGGUGUGGUAAAGGCGCACCAAGGCGACGAUCCUUAGCUGGUCUGAGAGGAUGAUCAGCCACACUGGGACUGAGACACGGCCCAGACUCGUACGGGAGGCAGCAGUGGGGAAUAUUGGACAAUGGGCGCAAGCCUGAUCCAGCAAUGCCGCGUGAGUGAUGAAGGCCUUAGGGUUGUAAAGCUCUUUUACCCGGGAUGAUAAUGACAGUACCGGGAGAAUAAGCCCCGGCUAACUCCGUG
rnacentral:rRNA from 1 species